rnacentral:rRNA from 1 species
CAGCCGCCACGGUAAUACAGAGGGUGCGAGCGUUAAUCGGAUUUACUGGGCGUAAAGCGUGCGUAGGCGGCUUCUUAAGUCGGAUGUGAAAUCCCUGAGCUUAACUUAGGAAUUGCAUUCGAUACUGGGAAGCUAGAGUAUGGGAGAGGAUGGUAGAAUUCCAGGUGUAGCGGUGAAAUGCGUAGAGAUCUGGAGGAAUACCGAUGGCGAAGGCAGCCAUCUGGCCUAAUACUGACGCUGAGGUACGAAAGCAUGGGGAGCAAACAGGAUUAGAUACCCCUGCAGUCCCUGUCUCUUAUAC